UAAUACGUAGGGUCCUAGCGUUGUCCGGAUUUACUGGGUGUAAAGGGUGCGCAGGCGGACUGAUAAGUCAGGGGUGAAAUCUCACAGCUCAACUGUGAAACUGCCUUUGAUACUGUCAGUCUUGAAUAAGCGAGAGAUUCGUGGAAUUCCGAGUGUAGCAGUGAAAUGUGUAGAUAUUCGGAAGAACACCAGUGGCGAAGGCAGCGAAUUGGCGCUUUAUUGACGCUCAGGCACGAAAGCAUGGGGAUCAAACAGGAUUAGAUACCCUGGUAGUCCAUGCCCUAAACGAUGAUCACUUGGUGUCGGCCGCAAGGUCGGUGCCGGAGCUAACGCGUUAAGUGAUCCACCUGGGGAGUACGCUCGCAAGGGUG
rnacentral:rRNA from 1 species